GGUUGGAAUUGGGUUUAAUUUCAGAAAAUUCGGGGUAUGAUAUGAAUAUGCAUAACUGUGUUGAACCAAAUUGAAACUGUUCUGUUUUUGACGAAUUUAUUCAAGGUACCUAGAAAUCUUCUAAAUUCUUGAAAAAAAUCCUGAAGGUUCAUCUGUGAGUCUAUUGCAUCGUGUUAAAUUUUCAGAAAAUAACUCGAAGUGGUUUGGCCUACAAAAUUCGUGGACUGAACUGGUGUCUGAUUCGCGUCUGUGCAGACAGCACAGACACGUGUUGGAAAAACGGGCAUAACUUCUUGCUCGGGUAUCGGUUUUACGCACCGUUUCUUGAUUCCGAAACUAGACUCGUAUAUCUUUCUGAAUAUGUAUGGGUUGUGUCGUGGUUCUUUCUAUAUUAUAGCAGUUUUUUAAUUAAAGUUCAGGUUUUGGUACUUCUGAAAUUCUGGACAGCUUUUGGCUUGUGUUCGUCAUGAAAUUCCUCAAGUUUAAGCAUGCUGGGUGGACAUGGGUUCUCAUGAGUCUUAAACAUGGAUCAAUUGGUGAUGUUUUGGUGUUGGAAUUAUUGGAAAAUAUUGAGUAUGUGAUUUUUAAUGAGCUUUCGAUCGCAGACUGUUCUGCUGAAAACUGUGAAUUCUGCUUUAGAUAUGUAACUUCAUUUGAGCGUAUCUUGGUCAUUCAGACUCUGUUUAGGACAAAUUUUAUAUCAAAAUUCAUGUACCGGAGGUGUACUUUCUAAUGGUGGUGGUUUCAUAAUCUGGUUUUAACCCUAUAAGAAGUUAUGGUCGAAAUACAACAGGAUGGUCAUGGUUUCAAAUCGAUUUUAAGAGUUAUAUCAUAUUUAUACUCUUACGUUUGAUUGGGGGCACUUCUAAGCCUUAAGAUGGACAUAUUUGUAUUUGUUGGGUAUUGUCUAAUACCUUAUUAGUUUUAUAAUUUGGUAUCAAAUGAUUGUUAAAUGGUUUAGGGGUGUUGGUGGCAUUGUUAACCUCAUUUGACACUUGUUAGCAUGGUGAAUGUAUUAUGGGGUGUAUCAUAUAUUUACUUAAACAUUCCAAGGGAUUCAUAUGCUGAUAUGGUAGCUUGUGGCUAGGUAACAAGCCGGUCAAAUAGGAGGUGCCGAAAUCGUAAGUUUGGUGUAUAUCUCGGUCGAUGCAAAGGUAGCAGGUUGCGUAGAGUGGGUCCACUACCGGUCAACGUGUUGAGAAGUGUUUGGGCUAGCGUCAGAUGAUGUGGAUAAGCGAGUUGGUUGUAGGUAGUGAACCAAAAAGUUGAUUUUUAUAAGUAAAAAAUAUGUUGUUGGUGGAUGUGUUGAAGUUUAGAAUUUUUAAAGUAUUGUAAAACUAUAUUGUUGUUUAGUUGUGUGAGAUCGUGGUUGGCUGGUCGAUACGUCGACUCAUUUUUAUGUUAAGGUGAUAAGUCUUC